GUAGGUGGCAAGCGUUGUCCGGAAUUAUUGGGCGUAAAGCGCGCGCAGGCGGUUCUUUAAGUCUGAUGUGAAAGCCCACGGCUCAACCGUGGAGGGUCAUUGGAAACUGGAGAACUUGAGUACAGAAGAGGAAAGCGGAAUUCCACGUGUAGCGGUGAAGUGCGUAGAGAUGUGGAGGAACACCAGUGGCGAAGGCGGCUUUCUGGUCUGUAACUGACGCUGAGGCGCGAAAGCGUGGGGAGCAAACAGGGAUUAGAUACCCUGGUAGUCCACGCCGUAAACGAUGAGUGCUAAGUGUUAGGGGGUUUCCGCCCCCUUAGUGCUGCAGCUAACGCAUUAAGCACUCCGCCUGGGGAUACGGCCGCAAGGCUG
rnacentral:rRNA from 1 species